rnacentral:rRNA from 1 species
UAAUUGGCAUCAAUUGAUAUUGAAAGCUCCGGCGGAUAGAGAUGGGCACGCGCAAGAUUAGAUAGUUGGUGAGGUAACGGCUCACCAAGUCUGCGAUCUUUAAGGGGCCUGAGAGGGUGAUCCCCCACACUGGUACUGAGACACGGACCAAACUCCUACGGAAGGCAACAGUGAGGAAUAUUGGACAAUGGGUGCAAGCCUGAUCCAGCCAUCCCGCGUGAAGGAUUAAGGUCCUAUGGAUUGUAAACUUCUUUUAUACAGGGAUAAACCUCUCCUCGUGAGGAGAGCUGAAGGUACUGUAUGAAUAAGCACCGGGUAACU